rnacentral:miRNA from 1 species
UGAGCCUUCUGCUGGACCCGUGA